GAUGAAGAACGUAGCGAAAUGCGAUAAGUAAUGUGAAUUGCAGAAUUCAGUGAAUCAUCGAAUCUUUGAACGCACAUUGCGCCCUCUGGUAUUCCGGAGGGCAUGCCUGUUCGAGCGUCAUUAUAACCACUCAAGCUCUCGCUUGGUAUUGGGGUUCGCGGUUCCGCGGCCCCUAAAAUCAGUGUCGGUGCCUGUCGGCUCUACGCGUAGUAAUACUCCUCGCGAUUGAGUCCGGUAGGUCUACUUGCCAGCAACCCCCAAUUUUUACAGGUUGACCUCGGAUCAGGUAGGGAUACCCGCUGAACUUAAGCAUAUCAAUAAGCGGAGGA
rnacentral:misc_RNA from 1 species